GAAAAAUACAAAACAAAAAGAAAGAAUUAAAGCAAACUUACAAUGUCUAAUUAAGAACAUAACCAACAAAAACUUAACUGAAGGAUGAAAUUCUGUUGCCAUUCCUAAGAAAACAACCUUAUUGCUAUAUAUCCAAGGAGUAGGAUCGAUAUCUAUAUCUAUUACAGAGAAGUGUACAUAAUUUUAUUUAUAUGUGAAGAUCACUUUCAAACUUCAAAAGGGGUUACUGUAAAUUUGCAUCUGGCUCAAGAUAUGUUCAAAGUUGUCAGUUGGCUUCUCAAUAGGAUGAUUAUGCAUCCCUUCAUAAGUUGUUACUACAAUACCCUCAUCUCUGGUUAGGCGUUGCACUUGCUUCUUUACAUUGCACCCUUGAUGUGUGCACCGGUAGUAGCUCCUGGGGAAUUUGUUGUUUUUCACGGCUUUUUGGCCAUAUUUCCUCCACCGAUAACCAUCAUCUAGUAUAUCAACCUGGCUCCUAGUUUGAAAAGCAUAUCUGGGUUUUCUAAUUUUCUUUUCGCCUUUCUUUUUGCCUGGUUUUAGCUGAUCAGUAGUUUCAGACCCAAUUGAAAAGCUUGCACUUUGUUGUGAUGAUGAAUUAAGGUCCUUGACUUCCGUUCUUGGUGGUACUCCUACUUGAUUUUCUAUCUUCAAUCCCAAGAACCCAUUUGAAGUAUCACCUUGAAAGUUAUUAAAAACAUGAGAAUUUGUUAUGGUUGACGAUACAGGAUAAGAAGAAGGCCCUGUCGAUGAAAAAGGAAAUAGCAUUUGAAACUUUUCCAUGGAAAACCCAGUACCUACAAAAGAAAGAAAAGCAGAAGAAGAU
rnacentral:misc_RNA from 1 species